AGAAACUGAAGUGCAAUGUAGACUACAGCAAGUUUUUGGGGAGUAGACUUGGCUGAUCAGUGCAUGCAGCCCUAUCUGGUAAACCGGAAGAGUAGGACCUGGUACAAGAAAAUUGCAAUUUACAUAACCCAGAUUGCAAUUUUCAAUGCCUAUGUGCUUUAUAAAAAGGAAGCCAUAGGUAGACCAUACCCAUUUCUAGAGUUUAU